rnacentral:rRNA from 1 species
GGGUUGUGAGGUUAAGCGACUAAGCGUACACGGUGGAUGCCCUGGCAGUCAGAGGCGAUGAAGGACGUGCUAAUCUGCGAUAAGCGUCGGUAAGGUGAUAUGAACCGUUAUAACCGGCGAUUUCCGAAUGGGGAAACCCAAGUGUGAUUCGUCACACUAUCAUUAACUGAAUCCAUAGGUUAAUGAGGCGAACCGGGGGAACUGAAACAUCUAAGUACCCCGAGGAAAAGAAAUCAACCGAGAUUCCCCCAGUAGCGGCGAGCGAACGGGGAGCAGCCCAGAGUCUGAAUCAGUGUGUGUGUUAGUGGAAGCGUCUGGAAAGGCGCGCGAUACAGGGUGACAGCCCCGUACACAAAAAUGCACAUGCUGUGAGCUCGAUGAGUAGGGCGGGACACGUGGUAUCCUGUCUGAAUAUGGGGGGACCAUCCUCCAAGGCUAAAUACUCCUGACUGACCGAUAGUGAACCAGUACCGUGAGGGAAAGGCGAAAAGAACCCCGGCGAGGGGAGUGAAAAAGAACCUGAAACCGUGUACGUACAAGCAGUGGGAGCACGCUUAGGCGUGUGACCGCGUACCUUUUGUAUAAUGGGUCAGCGACUUAUAUUCUGUAGCAAGGUUAACCGAAUAGGGGAGCCGAAGGGAAACCGAGUCUUAACUGGGCGUUAAGUUGCAGGGUAUAGACCCGAAACCCGGUGAUCUAGCCAUGGGCAGGUUGAAGGUUGGGUAACACUAACUGGAGGACCGAACCGACUAAUGUUGAAAAAUUAGCGGAUGACUUGUGGCUGGGGGUGAAAGGCCAAUCAAACCGGGAGAUAGCUGGUUCUCCCCGAAAGCUAUUUAGGUAGCGCCUCGUGAACU